GCAAGUGAAGCAGACCCACGUGGGAAAGUGAAGUGUCGCUCCUCCUUCUGCAAAGACUCCAUCUCAUCACCGCCCCCACUCCCACCCCUUCCACCCAUCGCUAUCAUGCCCAUGCGUGAAGACACCAGAGAACAAACAGAUGCACCAUCAAUUUACAUAGGGAGGAGAGGUCUAUAAAUGGUCCAGGAUGGGUACCAGGAUGGCAAGAGACACAGUAACUUCUCACAGAUCGGAUCCCCUAAAGAGCUGUGUUUGCCAGUGCAGUUCCCCGGGGACGGCAACGUCAGCAGAGCUGAGACCCUCCUCCAACUCAGCCGAGAAGAGAUUCAACGGUGUGAGUUACCAGGUGCUGGGGAGAACAGCAAGAUGCUCAGCUGUGCCAGGGGAUGGUGACUCAGUGUCCAGAGAACGGAGGCGGACUGCUGACUGCAUUGUACACGGAGUGAUGCCAUUUGAUGUC
rnacentral:lncRNA from 1 species